rnacentral:misc_RNA from 1 species
AUGGAGUCUUGGUGUCACGGCAUCACUUGUCACAUUCUUCAGAGGACCGCGUAAAACAGAUCCAGGUCCAACAUGAAUACUGUAAAAUAGUGAUAGAACCAGACGUUGAGCUUCAAUUGAAUUGCCUGGUCCUGAUAAAUUUAACAAACCCUGUCCAUGAACUCCCAGAUUUGCAUUAGAUUGUAUGACAGAUGAUUCCUUAAGAACAAUUAAGUUACUAGCCUCAAGCCAAGAAGUUGCAACAGUUGCAUCUUCACCACCAUCUACG